rnacentral:rRNA from 1 species
ACGGGAGGCAGCAGUGGGGAAUAUUGGGCAAUGGGCGCAAGCCUGACCCAGCGGCGCCGCGUGAGGGAAGAAGGUCUUCGGAUUGUAAACCUCUUUCAGCAGGGAAGACAAAAGGACAGUACCUGCAGAAGAAGUCACGGCUAACUACGUGCCAGCAGCCGCGGUAAUACGUAGGUGGCGAGCGUUAUCCGGAAUUACUGGGUGUAAAGGGUGUGUAGGCGGAGGAGCAAGUCAGGCGUGAAAUGCCAGGGCUCAACCCUGGAAUUGCGCUUGAAACUGUUCCCCUUGAGAGUGGGAGAGGUAAACGGAAUUCCUGGUGUAGUAGUGAAAUGCGUAGAUAUCAGGAGGAACACCGGUGGCGAAGGCGGUUUACUGGACCACAACUGACGCUGAGACACGAAAGCGUGGGGAGCAAACAGGAUUAGAUACCCUGGUA